AAACUAUUCAUAUAUUGAUUAAUGAUAUCAUAUUUCUCGGUUUACCAUAAAUCUAUGCUCAAUCAUAAAUAU
rnacentral:tRNA from 1 species